rnacentral:misc_RNA from 1 species
GAAAUGCGAUACGUAAUGUGAAUUGCAGAAUUCAGUGAAUCAUCGAAUCUUUGAACGCACCUUGCGCUCCUUGGUAUUCCUUGGAGCAUGCCUGUUUGAGUAUCAUGAAAUCUUCAAAGUAAAUCUUUUGUUAACUCAAUUGGUUUCUACUUUGGUAUUGGAGGUCUUUGCAGCUUCACACCUGCUCCUCUUUGUUCAUUAGCUGGAUCUCAGUGUUAUGCUUGGUUCCACUCGGCGUGAUAAGUUAUCUAUCGCUGAGGACACUGUAAAAGGUGGCCAAGGUAAAUGCAGAUGAACCGCUUCUAAUAGUCCAUUGACUUGGACAAUACUUUUAUGAUCUGAUCUCAAAUCAGGUAGGACUACCCGCUGAACUUAAGC